rnacentral:rRNA from 1 species
UGGGAAAUAUUGCACAAUGGGCGCAAGCCUGAUGCAGCCAUGCCGCGUGUGUGAAGAAGGCCUUCGGGUUGUAAAGCACUUUCAGCGAGGAGGAAGGUGGUGAGCUUAAUACGCUCAUCAAUUGACGUUACUCGCAGAAGAAGCACCGGCUAACUCCGUGCCAGCAGCCGCGGUAAUACGGAGGGUGCAAGCGUUAAUCGGAAUUACUGGGCGUAAAGCGCACGCAGGCGGUUUGUUAAGUCAGAUGUGAAAUCCCCGGGCUCAACCUGGGAACUGCAUUUGAAACUGGCAAGCUAGAGUCUCGUAGAGGGGGGUAGAAUUCCAGGUGUAGCGGUGAAAUGCGUAGAGAUCUGGAGGAAUACCGGUGGCGAAGGCGGCCCCCUGGACGAAGACUGACGCUCAGGUGCGAAAGCGUGGGGAGCAAAACAGGAUUAGAUACCCUGGUAGUCCACGCUGUAAAACGAUGUCGAUUUUGGAGGUUGUGCCCUUGAGGCGUGGCUUCCGGAGCUAACGCGUUAAAUCGACCGCCUGGGGAGUACGGCCGCAAGGUUAAAACUUAAAUGAAUUGAC